UACCAGAGUUGCUCCCCCUGUUGCUGUAGUAUCAAGUUUUUGUCUCCCUUUAGCUCAUUUCAGAUGUUUUUCAGAAUAAAAAUCAUUUUAAUUUUUUGAUGCGUAAAUCUCUAGAAUCAUUCCCUUAUAUAUUUUUUAUUUGACAAAUAACAUAUUUUGCAUAAUGGAUUUUUUUAAAUAAUUUGAUGUAGGAAAACAUUCCUAAAAUGAACAGAGGUAUUCCUAAAAUGAACAGAGAUUUCUGAUAAGUUUCCAUAUAUCAAUUUUUCUUGGGAUUGUCACAGGUGUGUCACACUUAGUAAAAUCACAAGCUAAGGGGAGUAACUCUAUAUGACUUAUUAAGCUUUAGUUUCAUUUGAUCAUAAAUUGUAACAAAAUUGACAACAUAACACUCACGUGAACACAUGCAUUAUCUUAUGUUGUUGUUGAUGAUGAUGGUGUUUCUGUUGUUAAGAUACGGUUACUAGAGACUGUUAUAUAUGUAAUUUCCACGUAUAUGUAAACCAAACAAAACUAUUGAUAUAUUUUUUGUAAGGUAUAUUUCUAUAGUACGAUCUGUAUGUAACUAUUUGCUGAAAGCAUAAAAAUUGUUAAAUAAAGAGACUGUACACUUUUCAA